AACGUUGAAAAAACCUCCAUCUCUGUUAUAAUAAACGUGCUGGUUUUCCGGCUAUGACGCUACACGUUGGUGCGGAAUAGACGCAGUGGACCCGGGGGCAGUACCCGGCGGCUCCACCACUUGAGAGAAGGGCUUUUUCAGGCGCUCUCAGGCGGCGGGGCCGACACAGGAUCGACACGCGUAAUAAAGGCAUUGGACGGUGUCCGGUAUUGUAUCCGCCGUUAUCGGGCUAAAUUUAUAAAUGCAAACGAUAACUUUGCGUUCGUAGCCGCUAACGACAACACUGUCGCUGGCGAAGGUCGCAUUGCUGCCUAAUCGGGCAGUAGCGAUGCUACACCUGAAUUCCUGAUUGUCUAACCACAGUCAGGUGGGGCUUUGGGGUCUGCGCCUCGCAACAGAAGCAGGCCCCU
rnacentral:tmRNA from 1 species